UCGAAGGCAGAAGACGAAUAGAUGUGCCGGAGAUGAAAUUAGCUUGUUUAAGAAUCAAAAACGUGCCUCGUCUUUCUGUAUGGAUAAUAACGAGGACAGAUAUCUACGUAUCGGAACGAACAUCUCUGCAGUCAGCUGAAUUUAAUUAAGUUAUUUGGUGCCACGGCUGUCUGAAAAUCAGUCCUCUUUUGUGGAACGAACUGGAUAACUCCUGCUCCCUCAAAGGUCAGCACUGUCAAACGUUUGGUGUCGCCAGCAGAGUUUGCUGGAUGGGGGAGGAAGUGAUCUACAGCAGGACUUUACUCAGGGUCAUUUUGUUUGUCUUACAGAACUGAAACAGCGCCGCCAGAUCUUUGGCUCCAGAAGUUUCACUUUCCACUUGGAUGAUGAGAGAUUAAGAUUGUUUUCUCUUGAAUCAAAUGAAAUGUGUGAACUUAAAAGACAGAACAGAAGCGACUGUACCUUCCUGGAUUUCUUGGGUUCGUAGU